rnacentral:rRNA from 1 species
UACGAAGGGGCUAGCGUUGCUCGGAAUCACUGGGCGUAAAGGGUGCGUAGGCGGGUCUUUAAGUCAGGGGUGAAAUCCUGGAGCUCAACUCCAGAACUGCCUUUGAUACUGAGGAUCUUGAGUACGGGAGAGGUGAGUGGAACUGCGAGUGUAGAGGUGAAAUUCGUAGAUAUUCGCAAGAACACCAGUGGCGAAGGCGGCUCACUGGCCCGUUACUGACGCUGAGGCACGAAAGCGUGGGGAGCAAACAGGG